UAUAAUCAUUAAUUAAUCAUGUUUUAAACAAAAUUCCCAACAACUUCACCCAAGAAGGGCCCUGGUCUCAUCUUCAAAACUGCAGGAGGAAAUUCUAUGAGUGUGACAAAAGCUAGGAACUUUUAUUACUUUGGAGAAGUAGGUCAGAGUGAAAACAAUAUAAUGCGUGUUCCUUCAGUUCUUUUCUUCUUACUCACUACUGGCAGGAAGAAGUUGAAUUAGAGGACAUAGGACGGAUAACAUCAGUGGUCAUUGAGGCUACAGGGAGAAGUACAGGGGAACUUGUUGCUCUGAGCAAGCAAUGGACGGCCUCGCAUAAUAAUACAAAUACGGCCAGCAAGCUGACCUUAGACAAUUUACAACUGAUAUGCAUUUUUUGUUCUUUCCAAUCAAGAGAACUUAGCUUAAUUAGGUGGGAAGAAACCAUGUUUGUAUCUUGCCAUUUUGUUAUUAUUGCCAUG
rnacentral:lncRNA from 1 species